UUCCCGGCCACCUCCACGAAGGAGGUGUCGACCAUGUGCCUCGCGGCUCUGCUCUCGACGCCGUCGAGGUAUUUCGGCGCCUCGCUCAUCAGGUCCGCGGCUUUGUGCACGCUGAAGAUGGUCGUGUUCUCCACGCCGCUGUUCACCGUCCCGGCGCUCCACUUCCCCUUCCCCAGGCUGACCCUCGAGCCCAUCGUGAGCGAGUCGACGAGGUACGGCGCCCCCGUCGUGACGCCUCGGAGGACCUGGCGCGUCAUGAACGACCGGUCGACCACGCGCGUGUGCUUCUGCUCCUCCGCCAGCGCGGUGAGGCGCACGGAGUGCGCGAGGACCUGCGGGAGCGCGCUCGCGGAGUGCGCGCGCGUCGGGACUUGGAUCUCGUCGUACCGACCGCUCGCCUUGAGCUUCUUGACGUACGCCAAGAGGUACUUCUCCUGCUCGAGCUUGAAGAAGCGGUCCUCUUGCGCCUUGCGCAUCGC
rnacentral:lncRNA from 1 species